GUGGCGGGCGCGGCAGGCGGGUCCAGGUAGGCUCCCGGGAGAGCCUGGCGGGGCGGGAAUCUGGGCGACGAGGGGACCCCGCAGCGCCUCCGUUGUUCUCAGGAGCUUGCUUUUUGGUGACUCCACGAUGCGGACCCAGUAAAGGAAAAGGGAGGACGUCUUGCUUCUGGAGCCAAGGUUCUCUACCGUUGUCCGCUCACGGCCUGAGAAACCCUGGGACGCGUGUCCACGUCCGCAGAGAAAGCCCGUUUGGAAGAAAACUAAGACGGGUCCUAUAUUCCAUCAGGGUCCAAAUUGAGAAGCUCCACCCACCCUGGAAAAUCCCAUCACCACUCUAAACAAGAUUCCUACUAUCUACAGUGGAAAGAUCUGAUCAUCUACAGCACAGGACAUUAAUACCGACUGCCAUGAUGAGAACAUUAAGCUAAUCCCGGACAUGUUUAGUACAGAAGUUAAAGCCUAUGAUUCUGCUCUCAGCUCUGUCACUAACCCACUUCGUGACCUUCCUAGGAAACCACUUACCCUUUCUGUGACUCAGUGUCCCUCAUCUGUAAAACAGGGUUAACACUUCCCAUGAACACUUCACAGGAUUUUGAGUCUCCUCCCAUUGGCCAAACAUGAUUGUUUAAAUCAAAAUAUUUUCUGGUUACUUAUGAAAUAGUUUAGAUAAACAAAAAUGUGCAAA